CAGCUCUCCGAGUGGUAGGGAUGAUUAUUGGGCUUAAAGCGUCCGUAGCUGGCUUAGCAAGUCUCCUGUUAAAUUCGGCGACCUAAUCGUCGAGCCGCGGGAGAUACUACUAGGCUAGGAGGCGGGAGAGGCCGACGGUAUUCUCGGGGUAGGGGUGAAAUCCUAUAAUCCCGGGAGGACCACCAGUGGCGAAGGCUGUCGGCUAGAACGCGCUCGACAGUGAGGGACGAAAGCUGGGGGAGCAAAACGGAUUAGAGACCCGAGUAGUCC
rnacentral:rRNA from 1 species